UACAGAGACUGCAAGCGUUAUUCGGAUUCACUGGGCGUAAAGGGUGCGCAGGCGGCCGUGUGUGUGAGGCGUGAAAGCCUGGAGCUUAACUCCAGAAUUGCACCUCAAACUACACGGCUAGAGCAUUGGAGAGGGUAGCAGAAUUCACGGUGUAGCAGUGAAAUGCGUAGAUAUCGUGAGGAAUACCAGAGGCGAAGGCGGCUACCUGGACAAUUGCUGACGCUCAGGCACGAAAGCGUGGGGGAGCAAAAAGGG
rnacentral:rRNA from 1 species